rnacentral:lncRNA from 1 species
UCCCCGCCGCCCUGCUCAUGCCGGAGUGCUGCGUGUAGAUCGCGUCGUCUCCUCCAGAUCCGGUCGCACCGCCGCCGUACUUCAUCUUCUCCACCUCCGGUGAAGGCCGCCGCCGUCUCGAUCUCUUUCUCCGGUGACGGCAAACUUAACGGUGCUGACUUUUCCGUCCUGACAUGUGGGCCAACCCUGUCAUAAUGAGUUUAAACGAGCCAAAUGAGGCGUUUUGCAGACUUGAUUGUUUUUAGUCACAGAUUAGCAAAAAAAAAUUGAUAGUUUUUGGCGCAAAAACGAAUUGUGAUAGUUCCUGGGCACGUUGGCGUGAAUUGUAGUAGUUUUUGAUUAAAUACUCCUCAUAUUACCUUGAUGAAGGUAUUGUUUCGAGAGCUCGGUCUUUUUAAGGGAGAAAACCUAAGAUCUUGGAUCGGACGACGAUGACGCUUGUGCACCGAUUUUUUUUUAAAGGCAUCAUUUUUUAGGAUGGUUUGAGUGUCGCUGCUGCUGAGAAGAGUUGUUCACUGUGACGAGUAGUUGAAAAUGCUCUUACUAUUACAUUUUUCUUUCAAACACGUUACAGUUUACUCCCACCUCAAGUAGUUCCGAGCUACUGUACGUAGUAGCCACACACAUGGAGCGACUCACUCACCUCCAACCAAUUUAACUUUCGUGAAUCUUUGAUCGCUUUUCAUUUGGCCCAGCUCGACGUCACGCGGAUGUCCCCGAUGGAUCUCGCCGGCCACACGCCCCUCGACGACGACGAGAUGAGCAGCGUGUGAUCCUCGUCGCCCCGUCCAUCCAACCGAAGAUAAGACGCCCACUCCCUCCCCUCCACAUGGCACCCACCCUCCAAUCCCUUACUUAUUCCCGCCCCCCUCACUCCUCCAUCCCCUAGCUCCACCUCUCAUCCGCUCCUCAGCCACACCUAGAGCAUCUUAGCUCCAGCUAGCCACCAAUGGCCGCCGCACUGAGCCUCCGCGCGCCCUUCUCCGUGCGCGCUGUGGCGCCACCGGCGCCCCGCGUGGCCCUUGCGCCCGCGGCCCUCAGCCUCGCCGCCGCCAAGCAGGUGCGGGGAGCCAGGCUCCGCGCGCAGGCGACGUACAAGGUGAAGCUGGUGACGCCCGAGGGCGAGGUGGAGCUGGAGGUCCCCGACGACGUCUACAUCCUGGACCAGGCCGAGGAGGAGGGCAUCGACCUGCCCUACUCCUGCCGCGCCGGCUCCUGCUCCUCCUGCGCCGGCAAGUUGGUGUCCGGCGAGAUCGACCAGUCCGACCAGAGCUUCCUCGACGACGACCAGAUGGAGGCAGGGUGGGUGCUCACCUGCCACGCCUACCCCAAGUCCGACAUCGUCAUCGAGACCCACAAGGAGGAGGAGCUCACCGCAUAAGCUGCUUACCCUGCCUCUCUUUGCAACAAGAUCGAGCUGAUAUCAUAUUAUCUCCCAUCAUGCAUGCAUGCAUGGAUAUCGCCAGAUACACCGAUUUGUUUGUGCUCGAAUGAAUUGCUCGAUGCAUGGUUUGCUCCAGUAAUAAUGUCUUCGAAUUACUACCUUUUUGUACCGUAAGAUAUACUACUGUCGUAAUACUAGCGUGUACUUAAUUCAACGUACUGAAAUGAAUCCUGAUGGCUGAGGUGUCUCUCUGAUUAAUAAUAUCUUCUUUUUUACUUAAGAUAAGAGACUGCUGAAUGUUGGUUGCUAACGGUGGUGGUUGAUGUUGAAGUUUUGUUGCUGCAAGUUGAUUGCUUCGCCGCGUUAUGCCUUGCCUUGUUUCUCAUUUAUGUAUUUUUGAUGAUGCAUCGUCGCACUAGGUAGCUCUUGAAUUGUGUUUGGGGGCACCUUGAAAUUAAUAAACAGUAAGGUAGGUCACAAUGUCUUCAACCCCCUUUCUAGAAACCACUCUAACAUCAAAUAGAAUAUUACUCUAUUGAUUAGUACAGAGAUGCUAUAUACACUUUGUCACAGUUUGUACAGAGAUUGUAGGUGAAUGCAAUUGAAUUAAACCAUAUGUGACAUGCACCGUGAAGUCGAAACCUUGCAACAUAGUGUCAGAAAUAACAAAUCGAUGUCUUACUUCAUUAGAUGUGGAACCAUCUACCCUCGUUGUUGAUCAUCAUAAUGGUUUUAUAAACCCCCAACAUGUUGUGUUUUAAAACGAUUGUACCAUGUUCUUGUUUCGACUGCCGGGGGGAGGGCUCGUGAUGACCUACUCUUUCUCAAGUUAUCAUGUUAGUCACUUGGAUGACUUAGGCCCUGUUUGGAACUAUAAUACUCCCUCCGUUCCAUAAUAUAAGUCUUUUUAAAGAUUCCACUAAAAAACUACAUACAGAUGUAUAUAAACAUACUUUAGAGUGUAGAUUCACACAUUUUGCUCCGUAUGUAGUCCACUAGUGAAAUCGCUUAAAAGACUUAUAUUUAGGAACGGAGGGAGUAGAUUAUAAUAAUCUAGAUUAUGAAGAUAGAUUAUAUAAUCUGGUUUAUAAAAAUAAUCUAGAUGGACAUGUUUGGAGGCCGGAUUAUAUAAACUGUAAUCCAGAUUUUACAUUGCAUAAUGACCUGUCUGCCCUCUGUUUAAAAAAAAAAAAGGGUGGCGGUGGUAGGAAUGUAAUUAUCUCCAACUUUACAAGGGUAAUAGAUCAUUAGCAAUCCAUAAUCUGAUUUUAGCUGGUAUAGACUAGAUUAUGAGUUUUUAAUAAUAUAUCCAUCUAGUUUUUAUAAUCUACACCAUAAGCUGUCCUGUUUGAAGACAAAAUAGAUUAUAGAAACUGGAUUAUAUAAUCUGGAUGGUUCCAAACAGGGCCUUAGAUGGAGAUAAUGCACACCAUUGAAAAAAUUAUACUUAUAGAUAGGGUCACUUUAGUGGCUGGAAUAGUCUCGGACCUGUCACUCGUACUUCGGUCCAACAACGUACAUGCCAUUGCAAUUUACUGAGCAGGGAUUGCCGCCCGCCACUGAUUUUCUAGUCCCACAUUGGCCAUGGGGAAACCUUUUCAGUGGCGGGCGGUCGGGUACAACCUACCACUGGCAGUGAAGUUGUCACUGGCAGGCACCGGUUUCCUCCAACCAUUAGUGCACCACAUAUGUAAUUUUCUAAUUUCCUGCAUUUGUUUUUACAUUUUAGUGUGGUAUUCUUUUGUGACUUUGUUACUGUAUGAGAAUUGUUUGACCUUUGUAGUAUCUUUAUUUGCUAUAUUUUAGACAUUUUAUUAAUAAAGUUGUAUUUAAUUGAAUAUAAUUAUAUUUUUUGAACUACAACUAUAUAUUUUAAAUUACUUUCAAAGGUUCGAAGACAAAUAUUUAUGUCUCGUGAAACAAUAGUAUUGUUUCACCAAUAUUUGAGCAGUUUUUCAGCAUAUGUAGUUCAUAUUUAAUUUAUGUCCAUUAGAUAAACUAAAAAUGCAUUUAAUGCCCCAAAUAUAUCAUAUAAACCUAGAAACGCAUUUAAUGCCCCAAAUAUAUCAUAGAAAACUAGAAUAGUCCUGAAUUUGACCAAGGAACUUGUAAUGGUGUAUACCAAAAAUAAAAAAAGUUUCUGUUAAAAAAUGAUGAAAAAAUUGUGUUCCCAUUCAAACCCAACAUUUUCCCUUAGAAACGUUGAUACUUCCGUGGAGACUGUUAUUUCUACGUGAAGUGCAUCGGAUUUUUUCUGUGAGUCUCUAAUUUUGUUACCACACCUUCGGUUUCAUAUCAUGACACCAUGCAAAGUUCCAUCAUUUUCAAACUGAAUUUACAUCUAUGUAUAAAAAAAAUCAAUACUCUUAAUAGCUAGAAAUUGAUCUGAUGCUUAAAAAUAGCAAAUCAACCCAAAAGGUGAUAAAGUCUAUCAUGAGUCUUUAUGAAGUAAAUUCAACCCCACAAAAGGUGGAAAUUAAAUUCUACCCCUAAAGCAGUAAAGCAAACAUAUUGCAAAAAAUGCAAAAAAGUAGCGUGCGACCAUAAACACCCUCCAUUGAUUGAUUUUGGUCACAUUCCCGCGAGUGAGUGGGACAUGCCCGCACCUUCAACCUGCAAAUGUGGUUGCCUUAUCCCCCAUUGUCGACCUCUCCCAUCCGACUCUACCCAAUCCCUAGCUUGCAAUCACCAUUGCUGCACCCGUCGUUGUCGCCGGCGAGGGAAUCAUCGUCUUUUUCAUGGGUUGUCAUUGUUGCAACAACCCCGGUCAGCGUGGCCGAAAUGCCCACCCCAUGGCCUCCUCCACCAGCAAUGGUGGCCUAACCCGCUGCCACUAGCCUCCUCUUCCUCCAAGCCCGAUGCCUUUAACUCUCCCCAUGUCUCCUUGCGCGUCGGUGGCCCCAAUCUCCUGGUUGUAUUUUGCAAUUGCAAAGGACAUUGUAUUCGUUGUGAGAUACUUAAAUCUGUUGAAAGGAUAUCGAAUUCUAUAAGCAACAUGCUUCUUGCUUGUGGAAUGUGCAGGCUAUUCUUUCAUGGAAAAUUUGGUCUUAGGAUACUUGGGGAUAGGAAAUAGAGAAUUAAUCAAGGUAGAUUGUUGUUAAUCCAUUUUGCUUCAUAUCCUUCUAUUGAUGUAUGAUUAGCUCGUUCUUUCUAGACUACGCCAUAUACAUCAUUUCUUUAGCAAAUUUAUUUACUCCUGCUUGCAUAACUAUGUCGUAUGCAUCAUUAUGCUUAGCUCCUGCUUGCAAGAUUACUUGAGGAUAAUAGGAAGCAAUUAUGGUUUCAGAAUAAACCAAUCAGAAUAAGAAACACAUCCUCUAUACUCACAUCAUCUUUUAUACCUCAAUGCUUGUAGGUGUAGUGUUUUUUGCCCCAUGCAAAUUUGUGUUACGUCAUCUUUUAGAUACAAAUCAUGGUACCCUUGUUCCUGUCUUGACAUCAUGGUCAUGUUUUAAAAAAAGCAUUUUCUUAUUUAUGUUACACCCCACAUGUAUGUAUACAUAUAUUUCUUUUUUAUGUCUCUUUGAAGGUUGUUAGUGCCACAUGUAGGUGGGGUUGUAUUUUUUUAUUGGUGAAAGUUGUUGGUUCUACAUGUUGUGUCACCUUAUAUAAGGUGUAUUACACUUUAAAUAGUAAUGUGCAUAUCUCCAAAAUUUGUAGGGCUUCAAAAUGAGUGCCAAAAUUCUGGCGAAAUGUUGAUUUAUUUCCAUUUCACCACAUUUUGAGCACUCAAUAUUUUCAAUUUUUUUAGCAAAACUAUGCCCAACUUUUCCAAUGAUUCAUAAUUGUUUACCCUUAUUAUUUUAUAGAUGUACUGGCUAUACUAUAGUGUAUAAAUGAUGCGACGAACUAUGUGUUUUCUAUUUAAUUUCUCAACAUGAAUGUAUGCAAUCAACCAUGUAUACCCAUGAUGUGGUAACAUCAACGUAGGUGUGUGCCACAGGUGCUUAUCAACUCUAAGGAAUUCUACGUAGAUCUUGACGAGAACUUUCCACAGAGGAUUGUACGUUUUAAUUCAACAUGUGUUGUGGAUGCUGAAUUGCUCACAUAUAUAAAAUUACCCAAAAAAUGUCUAUUUUUCAUAUUUCUCCAUGCAUCCCUUGUUAUGCAAGGCUCACUUCCUACAUAAAGUGAACGUGCCAUAGAGGAGAAGGUUACAUUUGAGCUCAAGAUGAUCAUGUUAAAAAAUGGCACAACCUUCAACCUUACGGUCACCAACGAGGCACACGGAACCUUUCAGUUGCCCAUGUUGAAGAGGGAUUGCAACCGAAUAAAUGAUGCAAAAUGCGAAGGCAUUCUUGUUUUUUUAGCGAAGGCGUUCUUUGUCGUUUCUUGGCGAACAAGAUGAUGAUGACAACAUCUAUAUGUGGUUCACACCGCCCCCACCACCAUAGUUGUUCUUGGUGGAAGGAUUCGGAGUUCAUAGGCAUAGUUUUAUCAUGCACUUCAUUUAAUGCAUAUGUUAUAUCUUUUUAUAAUCAUCCAAAUUUAUUCCUCAAAUAACGGCUAUAUCAUUUAAAAUUAAAAGAGAAAUAGAGUUUAGGGGACUAGAAUCCCAAAUAGAAGAGGGUCUAUAGGUAAAACUAGUCUUUGCUAGAGAAUCUGCUAUUUUGCUUCCCAAAGCAAUGGGCAAAAGAUGUGCCAGCAAAGUCCAUCACCAGAAAAUAGCAUUCCACGAUAGUGGCUGCAUCUGGCUCGAAAUUAUUCGUAUGCCAGUUCACAACCUCCACAACUAGGAUACCCAUGAUGUUUCGAUAAUCACAUUAGGUUUCCAUCACAUUAUUGCACACAAUGUUUCCAGCCAAACGAGCCCUUUGCGAAUGGCACUUAACUCUAUCAAAUCGGCACUACUGACAUGAGGCAAAUACCAUGUAACAGUGAAUGACACUUAACUCUAUCAAAUCGGCACUACUAACAUUAGGCAAAUACCAUGUAGCAGUGAAUGGCACUUAACUCUAUCGAAUCGACACUAUCGACAUGAAGCAAAUACCACAUAGCAGCGAGAGAAAGUUGCCUUUGUCAUCACGUACAAUAGCUCCCAUCGCACUCGAUUGUGUUUCAUAACGGAAAGAAGCAUCCACACUAACAUUAACACUUCCCAUGUUAGGUCUCUUCCAUAUAUGAUAUUUUUUUCAUACAGCUGAUUUGAAGUUACUGCUCUUAUGAAAUCUUUGGCCAAAACAUUGAUAGAAACUGCUCCCUUUUAGGGUUUUGGAGAGUGUAGGAUCGAAAGUAUGUCUAGUGGAGGGGGCUUCAUUAGACUACUUGAUAAGAUAAAAACUGAACCUUUUUCCUAAUUUUAGUUGUGGGCUAGUUUUAGCAAUUAUGACUAGUCAAGUUCAUCCUACUCAUGCAUAUCUAAGAUUAUAGCAGCGGAAAGUAAAGACAUGCAAAUGUAAUGAAGAGGGUAAGGUAGGAAGAUCAAAUGCAAAGGUCGACACGGUGAUUUUUGGCGUGGUUCUGAUAGGUGGUGCUAUCGUACAUCCAUAUUAGUGGAGACUUCAACCCACGGAGGGUAACAGCUGCGAGAUUACACAAAGGGCUCCACCCACAAGGGCUCCACGAAGAAGCGGCCUUGUCCAUUCCACCAUGGCUUACGUCCACACAAGACUAACCUCACUCACGGUAGAUCUUCACGAAGUAGGCGAUAUCCUUGCCCUUACAAACUUCUUGGUUCAACUCCACAACAUGAAGUAGGAGGCUCCCAAGCGACACCUAACCAAUCUAGGAGGCACCACCCUCCAAAAGUUAAUAGAUGCAAUAGAAGGAUGAACUCCUUGCUCUUGUGCUUCAAAAGAUAGUCUCCUCAACACUCAAUCACUCUCUCAUAGAUUUUGCAUGGGUAGGAGAGAUUGAUCCCAUGGAAAGCAACUUGGGGAGGCUAGAGAUCAAGUUUCAAAUGGUUGAAUUGGAAUCUCUUGAUCUUAACACAUGCAUGAGUAGGUGGCUUUCUCUCAGAAAUAUGGAUCUGGCAAGUGGGUGUGUGUUCUCAGUGCUUCCUUUUCGAAUGCGAGGAGGUGGAGGGGUAUAUAUAGACAUCUCCCAGAAUCCAACCAUUACCACAUUAUUUCCCAAUGCGGUGACACCGAAAGGAAUCUUAGUGGUACCAAGUUGCAAUAAAUGUGGCACCUUUUGAAUUCUUGGUAGACCAAUAUAUGAAUCUCGAUGGUAAAGAUACGAUGAUCUAGACCAGUUUCCAAAUCUCGGUGAGACCAAUUCCAAUCUCGGAAAUUCUGAUUGUUGGAAUUUUCUCAACAGAAAGUUGGUCAUUGAAUCUCGGUGGCUCUCAUAUGAAAGUUUGUGGUACCGCCAGAUUAGAGUCUGGCAACGGAUCCAUUGGGUGGAAAAUUAGUAGGGCCAAGUGGAAAAUAUUGGUGGCACCGAUUUUGCUCGUUUAGCUUUGGACAGGGAUAUCUUGUGGGAGAAUGGCUUAGUAGUUUUGGUGGCUAUCUCUAAGCACUUGAGCAACCAAUUCACCGUAAUACCUCACCCCCUUUAAAUAGUAUUGGCCUUCCUAUGGACUCAAAGUGAUUUAUCACAUAUGUAAAAUGUAGAGUCUUCUUGCUUGAAGCUUGAGCUAAUCCUAUUCCUUCCUUCAUCAAGGGGUUUCUCCACACAAUCCUUUAGCCAAGGCAUCUUUGAACUUUUCUAAAAUAUACUUGGAUAACAUCAUUAGUCCAAUGAUGCAUAUGUUGUGAUCAAUUAUCAAAACCACCUUAGGGAGCAAUUGUGCUUUAAAUCUCUCCCUUUUUGGUAACUGACGACAACAUAUAGAUCAAAGCUUCAACAAAAGGUAUAAUCAAUUAUUAGCAUCGACGCUUUGAGAAGUACGUGGAAAGCAAGAGAUGCCCCUAUAUUUGUGCAUUAUUUUAUAUUUGCAUUGGAAUGCAAAUGCACAAUCGAUUAGGAUCAUGGGUCACUCUUCCAUGUCACAUAUAGCUUGGUGGUGCGCAUAAAUGAUAUGAAUAAAUAGUAAUGCACAUAACACCAAACAAGCAAGUGAAUGAUCAUCAAGUAGAUGGCUCCAAGGUAAUAACGUGGUAGCAGCAAUCAAACAAAGUAUAGAUCAAACACUUCUCCCAAACACAUAAAGUCAACCAAAAGACCAAAAAAUUGAAAAACCAAAUGAGACCAAAUAAAAUGCAAACCUCUCCCUCUCGAAGACUAUUUGAUCUAUACACUUGUCCUCCUUUGGCGACAAGUUACCAAAAAGUUUGAAGGUCUAGAACUAAUUAUCUCUCUGGCUUGAACUCCUCCGGUAGAUGAUGAUGGAGUGGAUAGGAGAGCGUCGAUGAAGGCUUUUGCACAUGUCCCUGGAGCUGGAGGUGUUGACACUAGAGGUGCAGGAGCAGGAGUUGAAGGUGCUAAAGCUUGAGCUGAUGAAGAUGGUCUUGCUUCCAGAACUGGCAUAGUUGUUGACCUAGUCUGGGUCGUGAACUGAGUAGUAGUAGGAAGAGGCGACUCUUCCUCAUCACUUCUAGAGCGGGAUAUAUGCACAGAAUCAACUUUAUGCUGGAGCUGCUCAACAGUGGUAGUCAACUCCGUUACCUUAACCUCCAAGUCAUGGAAUUUUGUCUCCACGAUCCUCUCAAGUCUCUUCUGGUUCAGCAAGAUCUCGGAAAUUUUCUUCUCCAUCCCUUGGAUGGUACUGACCAAGAAUGACAUCUGCUCAUCUCUGGUCCUGAGCUAUGCGGUUGAAGCUGGAGCAUUCCUAGCAGCCGCUGUCUCUGCUACCUCUGCUGCCGCUUGAGCUGUAGCUGAGCUAGGAUGGCUAGGGUCCAUCACAACUUCAUUAUCUUCAAACUCUGGCUGAAGUGGCAGGUGGGGACGAUCAAGUAGAUAUGCAUGCUUGCCAAUCUUGGCAUUGAUGAGCAUCUGAAUAUAUGGAGCAUAUCCACAGGAUUUCUUUUGAUCUACAGCAGUCUUCCUCACAUGCUCAACUAUCAAGUCCAUCAUUAUGAACCGGAAGUGGGUGUCUAGAUGAUCCAACAUGUUGAUGGAAUAACCUCUAAUAAUCUUAUCCUCUCCUGAUUUGGGCAUGAGGGUGUAUCUCAUAAUGGUGUUUGUAGUAGGUAUCCCUGCUUGCAAGAAAUAGACAAAUCCAAACUUGUACAUCUGCACAUAUUUAUGAGGCACUGGCUUGUACAUUUUGCCGUAGAGUUAUGAUUCAUCUUGGGUUCUGAGUACACAUCCAGAUCUCCUUCUUGUGCCUUUGGAUCACCAAUUGUAGUGGCUCACUCAUACAUAAUAGACUCAUACCGGUGACCUUCAGUCAUCCAUACAAUCCUUCCGUCAGAACAGAAAUUAGCGAUGGAAUAGAAUUGCAUGAUCAUCUCAUCAUUCCAAGCAGUCAUCUCUCUGCCAACAAAAUAUUUAAUAUCGACUAGCCUGAAGUUUUCUCUCACAUGGGGAAAAUAAUGCUCACUGGCCUUGAUAUAUUCCCAAUGGACAUAUCUCAUAUCGCUGACUGCAAGACUCUUAUCAUGAAACACACUCUCAUAGAAAUCUUGUUGCUCCUUUAUGUGAAAGCGGGGAUCAACAACAGUUCUCCGUCUCACAUCAUAUGGAUCAACUGAUCUCCACUUACUCACUCCUUGAUCUCUCCUCUUUUGUAUGUCCUGAGCAGUUGGUGAGCAACAUUGUGUAGUGGCAGAUGAGCUCAAAGCUUCAUUAGAACAGGGGCACCCUCUUCCUCUUCUACCGCAAACUCUCUGGAUGCAGAGCCUUUGUUCCUCUGUGCUGCAGGAAUGUCCUUGGUAGUCUUCUUGGGAGCUACAGACUUCUUAGGAGUUGAGAACUUCUUGGGAGCAGAAGGCUUCUUUGGCAUAGCAUCAACCAUCGGCUUUUUCUUCAUAGGAGGAGGGACCUUAUGUGGAAUUUAUUCCUCCUCCUCAUCAACAACUUCUUCUGGGUCUUCAUAUAUUGAGGUUGGCCUUCCAAUAACAUAGUCAAUUCUCUUUCUUGCUCUCGUAUGACAUGGCUUCUUUGCAAGCCUAGCUUCUGGAGCUUUCAUGUCAGAACGUAUGGCAUAUUCCUUCCUCACAGUCUUCCUGACUGCGGUCUUAUCUUUCUGCUUCUCAGGAACAGAUUCCUCUGGAAUAAAGUCAACAUCUUCUUCAUCCGAAUUGAUCUUCCUUCUGGACCUGGUAGCUGCCUUGGACAAGCUAUGGGAGCUAGGUGUCCCUGGGUCAGAAGGUGUCCUCCUAGGACUAGUGCCUGAAUCCAUCUCAGCACUUGGCUCAGUGAAGUUGUUCUGACUAUCCUCUGAUCCUGACAUACUGUCACAGAGCCAAGUAGACAAUCAAACCCUAUGAAUAGAUAUACAAGAUCUAGAAGGGAUGAGCAUCACAAAAAUCAGAAGUUUUGGAAAAAUCGAACUCUGAAAAGUUAGGUUUAACAUUUAGCAAAAAAGGAUUUGUGUUCCAUCGAGACAAAAAUUUCGGAGGCACCGAUACUGACGUACUAAUUAACAGAAACUUGGCACCCUUUUCCGUUCCACUGAAAAGGAGAACUCACUUUCACCGAGACCGUUCUCGGUAGCCCUAAAAAAUCGUUAAGACCAACUUUUCUAAAUCGGUGACACCGAGAUUCAAUCUUGCGGAUGGCUAACCCUAAGAAUUCCAUUGUUCUCUAAUCUAUGGAAUUUUUCUUCUAGAUAGGAUGAGUGUAGAAGUGGACAAAAUUCAUCAAAACCUUAAUGCACAAGAAUCAGAAUUGGAGCGCAUAAAGGGGUCGGAUCCGUACCCUAGCUUGGUGAUGUAUCCGCUACGGCAACGACGACGGUGAAGAUUCCUGUUGACAACGAAGACUCCGGUGGUGAGGGCGCACGUGAGAAUUAAGGCGAUGUCCACGGGACUAGGGCGCGGCAUCGAGGAUGUGCGUCACGCGACGUUUGAAGUGAUUUUCCAAUCAUCGGGUCCGUGAGAUAUAUAUAUCUCCUAGCUGUCGGUGACACCGAUAUGGAAUUUUUGGUGCCACCGAGUUCCACAACUGUCAACUGAAAGUGAAAAUAGGUGAGGCCGGAAAGAACAACUCAGUCAUACCAAGUUAAGAAAACCUGAUCAACCCUAGGCUUCGGUGGGACCGAGAUUUUGUGGUUGGUCACACCGAGAUGCAAUUUGGGAGGUUUUGGGAUUCAGCACUUGUCGAGACGGAUCUAUCAAGCACUUGUGUCCCUAAAGUUCUUGCUCAAAUUUUGUGUUGUAGCAUGAAUAGAAUUUGAGACGAGAAAGCAUAGAUAGCUAGAGGGAAGUACUUAGGCAUUCUUGUAUAUCCAAUUGGCCAAAUGAAAUAGAAAGACAAAUAACAACAAUUGGAUAUCCUCGAAUGAGAAAAAUAUGCAUACCAACAUGCUCACACAAUAAGGUGUCAAAUAAAACAUGGUGAACAUGCACGAACAUUCUAGCAUCUAUCAAGCACUUUGGCGAUAAGGAAUUCAUCUAUAUAUGAGUAUAUUGACAUAGGAGCCAAGUAAGAGUACUUGACAAUAGGUCAUACUCAUCGAUUAAGAACAAGUGGGGUUAUCACUUUUACAUAAAACAUUAAUGUGCUCACAUCAUUUAGGAGACGCUUAUACUCAAGUCUUAGAGUAAAGCUCCUCCUAGAUGUGACAACCCCCUAAGAGGGAUAAACUAACCUUAGGUUUUGUAGUAGAAGAUUUCAAGUAGGUGUAGUAGUGGUGCAUGCUCAUUGUUGAUAAAGAUCAUCUUUGAGUUGGGAGCAAUCCUAGUUGUUUCUUACCCUUCUCACCUACAUGGGUUAGUCCCAAAGCAAAAGGAAUGUAUGCAAGAAUAUCUAUGGACAUGGCAUGAAGUGCAUGAGAGGUGAUGUAAAAAUAUGCAUUAAUUACCUUGUCCUUUGCUUACCUUUGAGGUAAUGUGUGACUCCUUGAACUAAUGCAUAUGGUUGGAGUUGAUUGCAUAUAGUUCUUGCCAAAAUGAAUAAGAGUGAAUUUGAUUGGUAGAGUCACCCCCUCAAGAAGUUUCUAGUUCUUCAUCUUAGGGACCCACAUCAACUUGAUGGGGAUCCUUGGAGUUGUGAUAGCAGUAGAUGAGGUAGUGUUAGUUGUGUCCAUGGGAUUCCACUCGACCUUGGCUUGGGUUUCUUCCUCAAAUGAUUCAAUCUCCUCUUGAAGCUUUCCCUUGCCCUUGUGAUCUUGUGGUUGAAGGUCAUGUUGAGAGCUUGUUCCCUUGGGAAGAGUAGGAUCAUACUUUUCCUCUUGAGGAACGAACUUCGGUAUGGGAUAUAGACCUUCUUCCCAUUCAUCUCCGUUGGCAUUGAGGUAACCAACACCGUGCUUCUUCCGAUGUCCUCCUAGCUUGCGCAUAAUUUACUCGAAUUGCUAACUUUCGGCAAGACUCUUGAAGACACCUCUCUCUUCCUUUCCAUAAAUCAUUUUCUUUCUCAAGUGUAACUUGGCUAAGAGAAUCAUUAGUGGAAUCAAGAGAGCUACUAGAAACAACAUCAUUUGAUCUAACUUUAGCAUUUUGUUACUAGAUGAAGAAACUUUCUUGCAUUUGUUACUAGUGUUCUUAGGUUUGACUUGUGGAAUAAAAGUAGAUAAGAUUAAUCAUUUGAAUAGAUAAGAAUAACUCUUCUUCCGAAGAUCAUCAUUGAUUGCUCUUAGAAACUCAUGAUCUUGUCCUAAAUUUAGCUUCUCGAAGCAUAACUUCUCAUGAGUUCUUGCAAGCUCCCUUUGAUCUUCUAGAGUAGUUUCACGAGCUAACUUAAGAGUGUUAAAUACUUUAGUUAGUUGUUGAGUAUCUUUCUUAUCAUCAUCAUUCGAUUUCUCUUGACUAGCAUGAUUAUGUUCAAGUUCAUUUUCAAUGUUCUCACUAGUCUUAUCAAGGAGCAAGUCAUCUCCUCCUAACAAGUCAUCCUCAUCACUAUCAGAGUCAAAGUAAUUGGGGUGUGAUACCUUGGGGCCUUUUUCCAUGAAGUUGUUUCCAGUCCCUUCAUUUGGUGAAUCAAAUAAGUCAUAGGAGUUGGAGGAAACGAGUUCAAGACCGACAACACCUUCAUCUUGACUAUAGUCAGAGUUGGAGUGGUAGCUUCUCUCAGAUUGGUUGUCAGACUCGGAGCCGGAAAGCCUUUCACCAACAUGAUCUUGAUGUCUUGUUCUUGAGAUGCUCUUGGUGUACUUGUCCUUCCUCUCCAAUUCCUUUCCUCUCUGGGAGUGUCUUCGUUCAUAAUGAUCUUCUCUAAUCCUUCUCUUUGUGAGAGGUGACUCAUCUCUUGAGCUUCGUCUUCUAGGUGACUAUUCUCUUCUUUUGUGGGGAGCCGAGCACUCAUUGGAAUAGUGUCCUGGGUUUCCAUAGUUGUAGCAGUAUCGGUCACGACUAGACGAACGCUUCUCAUCAUGUAUUGAGCUUGAGCUUCUCUCCUUGCAUCUACUUUUGUAGAACUUGUUCAAUUUUAUGACCAUGAGGUUGAUCUCUUCAUUCGUAACAAAGUUGUCAUUUGAAGUAUCUUGAGUAUAACUUGAAACUCUGUAAGUACCGCUUGACUUGUUGUGCAACUCAUCUUUGUCCUUGAGUGACAUUUCAUGAGCAACAAUCCUUCCAAUAGCUUCAGUUGGCUUGAGAUCCUUGUAGUUUGGCAUCAUUUGAAUUAAUAUACACACGGUGUCGUAUCUUCCAUCCAAGGCUCUAAGUAUAUUCUUGAUGAUGAAUUAGUCGGUCAUCUCUUCACUUUCUAAGUCGGCAAUCUCAGCGACUCCCUCACCAUCCUUCAUCUUGAACUUGUCAAGAUGACUUUGAGGCACAUCCAACUUAGAUUCCAUGACAAAAUCAGCACCUUCGUGCAGAUGAAUCAAAGUAUCCCACGUGCAGAUGAAUCAAAGUAUCCCAAAUUUUCUUUGCAUUCUCAAGGCUUGAGAAUUUUAUUGCAACAUGUUCAAUUCUUCCGAUGUCGCAUCACGAUCCGGUUCCCUUGCUUCUCCAAAUAAAUCACCUUGCACACCAACACGAAUAACAGCCCAAACGGUAGGAUUAUGACCAAGAAUAUGCAUUUUCAUCUUAUGCUUCCAACUAGCGAAGUUUGUACCAUCGAAAUAUGCACCUCUACAGUGAUAAUUUCCCUCACUAGGCGCCAUACUCUCCUAGGUUGUGAAACCAAUGCAAUGGAGGCCAAAACUUUGAUACCACUUGUAGGAUCGAAAGGAUGUCUAGAGGGGGGAGGGUGAUUAAACUACUUGACAAGAUCAAAACUUAGCCUUUUCCCAAUUUUAGUUGUGGUCCAGUUUUAGAAACUACGAGUGGUCAAGUUCAGCCUACACAUGCAUAUCUAAGAGUAUAGAAGCGGAAAGUAAAUACAUGCAAAUGUAAUGUAGAGGGUAAGGUAGGAAGAUCAAACACAAAGGUUGACACAACUAUUUUUGGCGUGGUUCCGAUAGGUGGUGCUAUCAUACGUCCACAUUAGUGAAGACUUGAACCCAUGGAGGGUAAUGACUGCGAGAGUCCACGGAGGGCUCCACCCAUAAGGGGUCCACGAAGAAGCGGCCUUGUCUAUUCUACCAUGGCUUACAUCCACACAGGAGACAAGACUAGCCUCACUCACGGUACAUCUUCAUGAACUAGGCGAUCUCGUUGCCCUUACAAACUUCUUGGUUCAACUCCACAACACGAAGUAGGAGGAUCCCAAGCGACACCUAACCAAUCUAGGAGGCACCACCCUCCAAAAUGUAAUAGAUGCGGUAGAAUGAUGAACUCCUUGCUCUUGUGCUUCAAAAGAUAGUCUCAUCAACACUCAAUCACUCUCUCACAUAUUUGGCAUGGGUAGAAGAGAUUGAUCUUGUGGAAAAAACUUGGGGAGCCUACAGAUCAAGUUUCAAAUUGUUGAAUUGGAGUCUCUUGAUCUCAACAGAUCAGUAGGUUGCUCUCUCUCAGAAAUAUGGAUCUCGCAAGUGGGUGUAUGUUCUGAGUGCUUCCUCUAUGAAAUUGAGGAUGUGGAGGGGUAUAUAUAGGCAUCUCCCAAAAUCCAACCGUUACAACAUUAUUGCCCAACUCGGUGACAUUGAAAGGAAUCUUGGUGGUAUCGAGUUGCACUAAAUGUGGCAACUUUUGAAUUCUCGAUGAGACCAAUAUAUGAUCUCGGUGGUACCGAUACGAUGACCUAGACCAGUUUCCAAAUCUCAGCGAGACCGGCUCCAAUCUCGGAAAUUCUGAUUCUUGGAAUUUUCAUAACAGAAAGUUGGUCACUGAAUCUCGGUGGCACUGAUAUGAAAGUUGGUGGUACCGAGAGAUUAGGGUUUGGCAAAGGAUCUCUCUGGUGGAAAAUCAGUAGGGUCGAGUGGAAAAUAUUGGUGGCACUGAUUUUGCUGGUUUAGCUUUGGACAAAGAUAUAUUGUGGGAGAAUGGCUGAGUAUUUUUGGUGGCUAUCUCUAUGCACUUGAUCAACCAAUUCAUCAUAAUACCCCACCCCUUUUAAUAGUAUUGGGUUUCCUAUGGACUGAAAGUGAUUUCUCACAAAUGUAAAAUGUAGAGUCUUCUUGCUUGAAGCUUAAGCCAAUCCUAUUCCUUCCUUCAUCAAGGGGUUUCUCCUCACAAUCCUGUAGCCAAGGAAUCUUUGAAUUUUUUCCGAAAUAUACUUUGAUAAGCUCAUUAGUCCAAUGAUGCAUAUGUUUUGAUCAAUUAUCACGACCACCUUAGGGAACAAUUGUGCUUUCAGAGAGUUUCACCCCUCACAAACUGUUGUCGUUGCCACCAUAUAAACUAAGAAGCCACUACAAUCAGUUAUGAUGUUGGCAGCUCCCCUACUUUGGAUUGGUUUCUCUCUAAAACCUCAAUAGUUACAGAUCCUGACCGGUCCUCACAAACUGCCUUAUGGAUCACAUCUUUCACUCCAAGCUUUUUCCAAAUUCUAGAAGCACAACAAGAGGUGAAUAAGUAGUUAGAUAUCUUCAAACCCAACAUUGACUAGUAACAUGUAUGUGACAGCCAGUGAGCACUCCAAAGCAUGGUCGAAUUCCCCUCAGAACCUUCCAUGCAAAGGGUUUAACUUUGCGACAAACUCGAAGCCUUCAAGUAUGUUGUGUGUAAGUGUUAAACAUAAGAAAGUUGUUAAACUAAAUUGUGUUCUUAAUUUGUGCUAUAUAACUAGAUAUUGUGCCUUCUAUGAUACUACAAUUACUGUUAAACUGAAAAGCCCGCCACGACAACCAAAAAUGUUGACGUGUUCACUUGGCCUGACAAACAAUACUAGUGGCGGGCAUGUAUAAUAAACUGCCACUGGUACAAACAUUAGCAGUGGUGGACGCCCUGCCUGCCACUGAUGACUGGUUAGUAGCGACAGACACCCUUCACAAUAACCCUGCCAUUGGUAGGCAUUUUGUGUCUGCCACUGCUAGCCUGUUCUCCAGUAGUGACAAGGGUUUUCCUCCAAGACUAUAUCAUUCAUACCUAGUAUGCGUAGGAGUUAUCACCCGAUUUAAUGCAUGCAUGAUAGCAUGAAUCCUUUAGGGAUAAUUUGGAAGCAAGGUAAAGAAAAUGAGGGUAGCAAAUCCUCCCUUAUCACAUGAAUUUAAACAUCCCAUGUUAUUCACUUUAUUAAGUUGCCCCAUUUCAUUAAGUAAAAUUGUGCCCCUCAAAUUCACAAGAUUCCAAAGUUGUGGGAAUGAAAAGUACAAUGAGACGUCCAACUAAAUCAUAUAAUGUUUGUGAAUUUUGAAUCAAAGUUUUUUGAUUGUGCCACAGAAAGAACAAGAAUAUUAUUUACACUUUGUUUGAGCCAAUGCAAUUUUUCUUAUGUAAUGCAAGCAAAAUUGAAUCUGAAGGAGAAAAAUUUCCAAUAGGAUACGACUUUGGGGAUCAAAUAACACCCAUAGUAAAAAAGCAUAGGUCUAUUUAUAUCACAUCUAUAUUAUCUCACAUCUAAGUUAUGACAUCAGCGAAAGUCAAUGCUUUUCCAGCCCACCGCAUUUUCUUAUAUUUAUUUUUUUGCGACAUUUUUUCAUUCGUUUUUUUAUUGGAGCGUGCUAAAAAAUGCAAUAAGACUUGCCUAUGAAUCGAACUCAAGACUAGAUGGUGGUAGUUGAGAGCUCCCACCAGUAUAACCAUUACAUGCAUUUGAUAAAUUCUAAGCGGCAUAUCUUUAAGAAAAUACAACAGAGUUGAUAUUAGAAGAAAUUUUCAAGAAAAAUGUAAAAAAUUUUAAAUGUAAAAUAUUUCUGAAAACCAAAGAAAACUUGAAAUUUCCAAAGUAUUUUUCAAAUAUAAAUAAAGUUUGUAAUGCCAAACAUUUUUUGAAAAAUUAGAAAACAAUUUGAUAUUCCGAUUUUCUUAAAAAAGAUGACACUUUUUGAAAAAUUCCCGAACAAUUUAUAAAUCAGGUACACCUUUUAAAAUUCCAAUUCCUUUAAAAAACAUGGUUAAAUGAAUAUAUUUUUAUUGUAAUCAUAACUUUUCAACAAAUGUUUUUUUGCACCAUUAAAAGAAUGAGGGUGCAAAGAAUGUUCAUGUAGUUCACAAGAAUGUCCGUGAUGUUUAAUAAAAAUGUAUUAUACAAUGGAAAAUAAUCAUAACAUUCAAAUAAUUAUUAUUUACAAUCUUUUAAAAGAAACUUCACGCAUUUAGAAAAAUCAAAACAUUUUCUAGAAAAAAUAUUUGUCCGAUGUAAAAAAAAUGUUCACGUAUUUUUUUAAAAAUCAUACAAUUUAGAAAAAUGAUUUAAAAAAUGUUUACCAUGUAUUCUAAGAAUGCUUGGGCCUGUACUUGGAAAAAAAUAUUCAUCAUGCAUUUUUAAACAAUGGUAUGUGUGUUAAAAAAUGUUCCUAGUGUAUACAUGAAAAUGUACAAUGUGCAUUACAAAAGUUGACAUGUAUUUGUGAAAGCUAAAUUGCUCCCUAAGGUGGUUUUGAUAAUUAGUCACAUCAUAUGCAUCAUUGGACUAGUGAGUUUAUUCAAAUGCAUUUAAAAAAGUUCAAAGAUGCUUUGGCUAUAGGAUUCUGUGGAGAUACCCCUUUGAUGCAAGGAAGGAAUAUGAUUGGUUCAAGCUUCAAGCAAGAAGACUCUACAUUUUAUACUUUGUGAGAAAUCACUUUGAGUCCAUAGAAAAGCCAAUACUAUUAAAAAAGAGUGAGGUGUGAUGAUGAAUUGGUUGCUCAAGUGCUUAGAGAUAGCCACCAAAAAUACUGAGUCACUUUCCGACAAAAUAUAUAUGUCCUAAGCCACAUAAGCAAAAUCGAUGCCACCAACAUUUCCUACUCGUCCAUACCGAUUUUACACUUAGACAAAUUAUAUGCCAAACCCAUCAUCUCGGUACAACCAACAUUCCUAUCGGUGCCACCGAGAUUUGGUGACCAACAUUCUGUUGAGAUGAUUUCAAGUUUCGGAUUUUUUGAGUUUGAAUUUUGUCUCACCGAGUUUUGGAAACCAGUCUAGGUCAUCGUAUCGGUACCACCAAGAUUCUUAUAUCGGUCUCACCGAGAAUUCAAAAGUUGCCACAUUUAGUGCAACUUGGUACCACUGAGAUUCUUUUUGGUGUCACCGAGUUGGGCAAUACUGUUGUAACGGUUGGAUUUUGGGGGAUGCUUAUAUAUACCCCUCCACCUACCUCUCAUUCGUAGAGGAAGCACUCAGAACACACUUACACUUGUGAUAUCCAUUUUUCUGAGAGAGAGACACCUACUCAUGUGUUGAGAUCAAGAGAUUCCAAUCCAUUCAUUUGAACCUUGAUUUCUAGCCUUCCCAAGUUGCUUUCCACAAAAUCAAUCUCUCUUACCCAUGCCAAAUCUAUGAGAGAGUGAUUGAGUGUUGAGGAGACUAUCUUUUGAAGCACAAGAGCAAGGAGUUCAUCGUUCUACCACAUUGAUUACCUUUUGGAGGGUGGUGCCUCCUAGAUAGGUUAGGUGUCUCUUGGGAGCCUCUUACUUCGUAUUGUGGAGUUGAACCAAGAUGUUUGUAAAGGCAAGGAGAUCGCCUACUUCAUGAAGAUGUACCGUGAGUGAGGCUAGUCCUUCGUGGGCGGAAGCCGUGGUGGAAUAGACAAGGUCACUUCUUCGUGGACCCCUUGUGGGUGGAGCCCUCCGUGGACUCUCGCAGCCGUUACCCUCCAUGGGUUGUAGUCUCCACUAACAUGGACGUACGAUAACGCCACCUACCGGAACCAUGCUAAAAAUCUCCGUGUCAACCUUUGUGUUUGAUCUCCCUACCUCACCCUCUACUUUUUUUUGAUGGGAAACUGUAAGCAAAACCCCUCACAACGAGUUUUUUUUGAAAUAAUAAGAACUCAAAUUCGCGCCCGUGGGGACUUGAACGUGGGUGGCUGGGUUGUACAUCUACUCCACUAGACAAGUGAGCUAGGCUCACUUCCUUUACUCUUGCAUGUUUUACUUUCCGCUGCUAUACUCUUAGAUAUGCAUGUGUAGGGUUUACUUGACUAGUUAUAGUUGCUAAAACUGUCCCACACUUCAAAUUGGGAAACAACUAAGUUUUUAUCUUGUCAAGUAGUCUAAUCACCCCGCCUCUAGACAUACUUUCGAUCCUACAAUUUGGAAAAAUAACUAUAUAGGGGUACUGGGUUGGGAAUGAUUUGCAUGAGGAGAGUGGACAUGCAACUAUGUCGGACAUGAGCUGCAUGACUGAGUCGGGUGGGUUUACGUGUUGGGGUGGAAUGGAACUAGAUAGGGGCCGAGGCAAGUUGCGUGUUGAAAAACAAAACACAAGCUUACUUGUGCAUUAAGGGUGGACUUGCAAUUGGAAGAAGAGCUAGGUUGUGAGUGGAGGAUAGACUUACAUAUGGGACAACUACAAAUUGAGACCAAUUGCGUGUCAAUGGUUGACUUAAAACUGGGAUAAAACAAACUAUGGUUCAAGUUGCGAGUUAACGGUGGAUUUGCAACUAGGAUGAUGACAAAAAUAUAGGCUCACUUGCGAGUCAUUUGUGGGCUUGCAACUGGAAUAAAACAAACUAUGAGACUAGUUGCGAGUCGAUGUUGGACUUAUAACCGAGACAAGCAUAUAAACUAUGAUACGAGUUGAGAGUUGAGAGUAAACUUGCAAUUGAGAUGAAAAACAAAACACAUACCCAAUUGCGUGUCGAGGAUGGACUUGUAACUGAGAAAACAAAAAUAUGGGCCCGACUGCGAAUCGAGGAUGGACUUGCAACAGGGACAACAAAAAAACUAUGAUCCCACUUGUGAUUCGAGGACAAACUUGCAAUUGAGGCCCCUACAAGUACAAAGCCCUUAGUUACGAGUUGAGGUUGGAUUCGCAACUCGGGAAACUACAGGUACAGAAAGCCCAGUUGCGAGUCGAGGAUGGACUUGGAACCUUGAAAAUACGACUACAAAAAAGCCUCUGUUCCGAUUUGAGGGUGGACUUGCAACUGGGGCAACUACAUGUACAAAAAGGUCCCAGUUGUGAGUCGAGGGUAGAUUUUCAACUACGAUAACUACAGGUACAAACCUCGAGUUACGAGUCAACGGUGGACUUGCUACUAGGGUACCUAAAAUUACAACGCCUCGAGUUACGAGUCGGCGAUGGAGUUGAAGCUGGUGCACCUACAACUACAAAGCCUCGAGUUGCGAGUUGAGGAUGGACUUGCAACUAGAUUAACUACAAAGUACAAAAGAAAACCAGUUGUGAGUCAAGGGUUGACUUGCAACUAAGACAUCCACAGUUACACAAAAACCCCUAGUUGCAAAUCAAGGAUGGACUUGCAAGUGGAGCAACAAUAGGUACAAAGCCAGUUGUGAGUCGAUGGUAGACUUGCAACUUGGCCAACCACAACUACAAUACCUUCAAAAGAAGGGUGAAACUAUGAAAUUGGGAUGAAACCAACUAUGGGACCAGCUGCGUGUCGAGGGUGGACCUGGAACCGGGAUAAGAAAAAAAGUACAAGCUCAAGUUGUGAACCGAUGAUGGGGUUGAAACUCGAACAACUACAGGUUCAGUUACGAGUCGAUGAUGACUCCAAACUUGCACAACUACAAAACUAGGAGCCCAGUUGCGAGUCAUGGGUUGAUUUGCAACUAGGAUAAAACAAACUACUGGACCAGUUGCGAGUCAAGGGUGGACCUGCAACCGGCAUGAGAAACUAAACACAGUCUGAGUUGCGGCUCAAGGGUGGGCUUGAAACUGCUAUGAAACAAACUUCAUGCCUAGUUGCGAGGUCAGGAUGUACUUGUAACUGGGACAACUACAUGAAACUAAGAUAUGAGUUGCAAGUCGAGGGUGGACUUGCAACACGGACAAACUACACAAAACUACGAUACGAGUUGUAGUCGCGAGGGUGAACUUGUAACUGGGACAACUACAAAACUACGAGUCGAGUUGCAAUUCAAGUAUAUCAUUGCAAUUGGGAUGAAACAAACUACGGGCCUAAUUGCGAGUCAAGGGUGAACCUGUAACUGGGAUGAAAAACUACACAUAGACCGAGUUGCGAGUCAAGACUAGACUUGCAUCUAGGAUGAAAUAAACUACGGGCCUAGUUGUGAGUCAAGUGAGUACUUGCAACUCGGGAAAAUACACAAAACGACUACGAGUAGCGAUUCAACAGUUGACUUGCAACUCGGACAACUAAAUGAAACUACGAUAAGCGUUGCGAGUCCAGGGUAGACUUGCAGCUGGGACAACAAUAAGGCUAUGGGCUCAGUUGCGAUUCGAAGGCAAAUUUGCAAUUGGGACAACUACGAAACCAUGAGCCCAGUUGUGAGUCAAGGGUGAACUUGCAACCAGGAUGAAACAAACUACAUGCCUAGUUGCGAGGCAAGGGAGGACUUGCAACUCGGCAAGUACACAAAACUACCAUACUAUUUGGGAGUCAAGGAUGGACUUGCAACCGAAACAAUAACAAACUACGAGCCCAGUUACGAGUUGAAUGUGGACUUGCAACUAGGAUGAGAAAAACACAUAAUGAUUUAUGAGUUUAGGGUAAACUUGUAACUAGGAAAACUAAAAAUUCAUUUACGAGUUAAAGAUGGACUCUACAAAUUCUCGGUCAUGCCAAAAAAACACACAACGAAAAUGAACAAAAAAUAUAAAGGGAUCGCGCCUCCCAAGCAACGAUAAAAGUAACAUGAGAACAUGCGAGCAUAAAACAAAAUGGAACAAGAGGACGCGCGACAAGAGAGAAAGAGCUGACACGGACGCACAUGAUCGACUUUGUGCAAACAUCAAACAAAUCAGAUGAUUAUAACUUGAUAAGACAUCACUAAAUCUCAUCUAAAUAAGAUUUAGCAAAUCUAAAAAAUAUCUAGUUACACUCUCCUCUACUACACAGUCAAACUAAAAUAAACAUAUAACCCACAAAAAGCUAGUACACACAACGUAAAAGGGCACACUAAAAAAAGUCAUAUAUGACCUCACUGCUUAACGAGGAGCGAAUGAAAAACACGACACAUCAACAAUGAAAGUGAAUCAUAAGCAUAUGAAUCAGAUGAGACGUUGUUAACUCACAUUUACUCCCUCCGUACCUAAAUAUAAGUCUUUUAAUAUAUUUCAUUAGGUGUCUACAUACAAAGCAAAAUGAAUGAAUCUAUACUCUAAAACAUGUCUAUAUACAUUUGUAUGUAGUCCAUUAGUGCAACAUCUAGAAAGACUUAUAUUUAGGAACGGAGGGAGUAGAUGAGAAUUAGACGUGAGUUAACAAAAACAAUAAAAAAAGAAACCCCUGGAUCAUACCGUAGUGACCCACCAAAUGACGCACGUAGAAGUAGGUAAGUAAGUAAGUAUCUUGGAUUACCUGCGAUAGUGGGAGCAGAUAGGAGUGAAAGCUUUGAAUACUUUUGUGACAAAAUCAAGAAGCUUCUGAAGGGGUGGAUGGAAAAGCAACUGUCAACAGGAGGGAAAGAAAUCUUGUUAAAAGCAGUGGCUCAAUCCAUCCCUGUCUUCGCUAUGUCAGUUUUCUGUUUGCCUAAGGGAACUUGCAAGGAUAUCACGGAUGUAAUUGCUCAGUAUUGGUGGGGAGAUGAUGAAGAAAACAAAAAAAUGCACUGGUUCUCGUGGUGGAAACUAUGCAUCCGAAGUGUGAUGGUGGCAUGGGUUUCCGCGAUCUUCACUCUUUUAACUUGGCCCUUCUUGCGAAACAAUGUUGGAGAUUGAUCACAAGGUCGGAGUCCAUCUGUGCUCGCAUCUUGAAGGCAAAAUACUACCCAAAUACAGACUUGCUACACGCUGGACCAAAGAGCGGAUCUUCGUUCACAUGGCAAAGCUUGAUGGCGGGCUUGACUGCGUUUAAAAGAGGGUACAUUUGGCGAAUUGGUUCGAGGGAAAAUGUAAGUAUAUGGAAUGAUCCAUGGAUACCCUCAAGCCCGGACAGAAGGGUGAUAACUCCUCGGCGGCAGAUUCUGAUUUCGAGGGUGGUAGAGCUCAUUGAUCCAGUCACCGGCCAAUGGGAUGAACAAUUGAUACGAGACAUCUUUUACCCAGUCGAUGCAAACAGAAUCUUGCAGAUACCUUUAAAUUUUCAAGCAUUUGAUGACUUCAUUGCGUGGCACCUCACAAGGAAUGGUAUUUUCUCGGUGAGGAGUGCUUAUCAUGAACAAUGGUCACAUAAGCUCAGGGGUCAAUCCCUUGUGAAUUCAGUGUCCACCAGUACUAUGCAGGCAGCUAUUUGGAAGAAGCUCUGGGAGUUACAAGUGCCAUGGAAAAUACAGAUUUUCUUUUGGCGGGCGUUGCGUGGAAUUGUACCACUAAAAUCCAUUCUUGCUAAUAAGCACAUCCCUAUUGAUGGGGAGUGUCCGGUGUGCCAUAGGGGACCUGAAGACAUGCGGCAUAUGUUAUUCCAGUGUGAUUUGGCGAGAAGGUUGUGUGCUGGACUAGGGCUGAUUGAUCGUAUUGAACAAGCAGUUCAAGUGGAUCGCUCAGGGUCAGCCAUCUUAGAAUUUCUCCUACUAGAGCUGGACCAACCAAUGUCGAUCAUGUCAAGUAUUAAUGACAAAGAGGUAAUAGCGGCUGGCUGCUGGUAUCUCUGGUGGCUCCGCCGGCGACACACCCAUCAUGAUUCUUGCCCUCCAUCCUUCAGGUGGCAUACCUCAAUUCUAGCAAUAGUGGGAAAUUACAUAAAAUCUUUAUCAAAGAAGAGGGAACCGGUGGAACACAAGUGGAAGAGACCAGAGGCAAGAUUUAUAAAGCUAAAUGUGGAUGCUUCAUUCCAUUCAGAUGAAGGAUCGAGUUCUACUGCAGGUAUCUUACGAGAUGAAAAGGGUGGCUUUAUUGCAGGGUUUUGCAGAUUCAUUCCCUUUGCAGCUGACGUUGUCACGAUUGAAGCAAUGGCAAUGCGAGAUGGUUUACAUUUGGUGAACUCCUUGGGCUUUAACAGGGUAGAAGCGGAAUCAGAUUCUUUGAGCGUCAUCAAGUGUUGCCAAGGGCAAGAUCAGUGGUGGGAUGCAGCAGCGGCUGUCUUUGCUGAGUGCAUAGAUAUGGCUACAUCUAUAGGAAAGGUCAUCUUUUCUCAUUGUUUUCGUGAAGCUAAUUCAGUAGCUCAUGAGCUAGCAAAGUUUAGUUUCUGUAAUAAAGUUGAGCACAAUUGGACUAAUGAACCUCCUGAGUUCUUAGUUAGCCAAUUGAUGAAUGAUGUUUUGAUUAUUUGAGUUAAUAAAGCUAGCCAUGAUGGCCUUUCCUCAAAAGAAAAAAGGAAACGCAUGUACGCGACACUAGAUGCAGCAACAAAAUAAUCCAUGAUUAAGAUUUGAAAAAAUGUAAAACAAACAGAUGAGAGUAUGUUUUUCAUGAAUAUUAAAAAAAAUGGAAAACAAGAAAAUACAAAUAUAAAUAAAAGAAAACCAGGAAACUAAAAUACUUGAUAAUUUGAAACAAAUAAUAAAACAGAAAAAAGAAAAAGAAAAAGAAGAAACAACAAAAGUAAUGCGGCAGCCGAUAUAGGCUACAGCCCAUAUAACAAGAAGAACCUAUAGGUACGAGGGCAGCUACCUAACAUACCGUUGGCGAUCCUAAAAAAAGUGAUCCUCAAACGCAACAUUCGUUUCUUCAAAAACAGGGUUGGGGGGGGGGGGAUAACAUAGUGUAUGAAACAGAACUACUAGACGGAUGAAAAAAGCAAAUCAAUCCGUGGUUGGAUGAUUGGAGAGACAGUGAUAUCCCAGCACAUCAGGGUUUAAAUCCUGAUGCUACACUAUUUUUAAAUUUAUUUCAGGAUUUCCGACAAUAUGCUUUCAGUGGGAGGAGACAUUCCCGUCGAGGAUAAGAUGCCUACAGUGACUUUGUAAAUCUCAAGACGAUAUACUCGCUCAGUCUUUGAGAGAUGUUCAUAGGGAUAAGAUGUGUGUAUGUUCGGUUUAGGAGUUAAAUCUGAGAUAAGUAUUUUACAUCUAGAUGUGAAAUAGCAAUUUCAAAAAUUCAUAUGAAAAAUCUCUGAAUGAAAAAGACUCAUUAACUUAGAAACUCCAUGCAAAAAUACAAGGCUAACUUUUUUUCUCUUAAAUAAAAAAGAAAAAUAGAGAAAAAUGACGGAGGAUAACACUUGGCAGUGGGCGGGUGAAACACAUCACAAUUUUAUUUUCAAAUUGAUCUCUAACCAGGAAAAUACCCCGCGCAUACAACCAAGACCACGCACUCACCCCAUCGCAUGGCCUCCACACGCCUUGUCGAUAUCCAUGGUGGCAUCUAGCGCCGGCCGGGUGGCACGGAUCCCCCUUCACUCCCUCAGCGUGUGAACGUCGUCGCUCCAGCCCAACCGUUGCUCGUGUUCAGGAUAAGCUGCCCAGCUCGUCCGCCCUUCUUAUUGCCGCUGCUUCUCAGCUCACACGCUCCAACACUAUCCUCUCGUGUCUCGUCGAGCUAUCUGUCCACGGAGUAGUACCUUCCCGAGCUAGCUCGCAGCUCCGCCGCAAUGGCCACCGUGGUGAGCAGCCUCCGCUUGCCCUUCUCCGUCUGCGCCGCCGCCCCCUCGGCGCCCAUGGCAUCCCGCGUCGCGCUCCCGCUGUCGUCGACGGCUGCCAGGGGCAUGAGGCUCCGCGCGCAGGCGACGUACAAGGUGAAGCUGAUCACGCCGGAGGGCGAGGUGGACCUCGAGGUCCCCGACGACGUCUACAUCCUCGACCACGCCGAGGAGGAAGGGAUCGACCUGCCCUACUCCUGCCGCGCCGGCUCCUGCUCCUCCUGCGCCGGGAAGGUGGUCUCCGGCCAGCUGGACCAGUCCGACCAGAGCUUCCUCGACGACGACCAGAUCGAGGCGGGGUGGGUGCUCACCUGCGCCGCGUACCCCACCUCGGACCUCGUCAUCGAGACACACAAGGAGGAGGAGCUCACCGCUUGAAUUCACUGAUUUUGUGUAUUUCCAUCCGUUUCCGGCGUGCGCGUGUAUAUGCACGAUGCAUGAACUGUAUCAGGAUAUUGAGGAGUUACAGAGUAAUUAGUACUUGCUG